CGAAGCUGGAAUCGCUAGUAAUCGCGGAUCAGCACGCCGCGGUGAAUACGUUCCCGGGCCUUGUACACACCGCCCGUCACACCAUGAGAGUCUGUAACACCCAAAGCCGGUGGGAUAACCUUUAUAGGAGUCAGCCGUCUAAGGUAGGACAGAUGAUUAGGGUGAAGUCGUAACAAGGUAAC
rnacentral:rRNA from 1 species